AUUAUAGUGGAGGUGUUAUACCCGUUCCCAUGCCGAACACGGAAGUCAAGCCCUCUUACGCCAAUGAUACUGCACAUAGUGCGGGAAAGUAGGUCUUCGCCAGGC
rnacentral:rRNA from 1 species